UUGAAAAGGCCUUGCUCGAAAUUACUCUUCGCAUAGUAGGAUUGCUGUUCAGCAGAGAAGCACGCACGUAAGGUACGAGUUCUACAAACUCUCAUUCAACUGAAGUAAAGUCGAGAUCGUGAAACAGACGAAAACCGAAGAAUAUUCGCUGCACAGAAAAAUGUCUGGCGUAGCUCCCAACCAAGCGUUUAAAGACGCAUACGAUAGGGUUAAAAGUAAAGACCGGAAAUGGUUCAUCUCCAAAAUCACUGGAGGCCAGACUGUCAUCGAGUCGGAAGCCGAGGGCGGCGCCUACGCGGAUUUUGUUCGUGAUUUGACUGGAUCCGGGGAACUACGUUUCGCCGUGUUCGAUUGGCAGGAACGCAAAGACGAUGGUCAACUUAAAUCCAAGAUGUUCUUCUUCUCUUGGAUUCCUGCGAGUUGCAGCAUAAUGGUGAAGAUUCCUUACAGCAGUAGUGCUGAAUUGAUGCAAGCUGUAUGUCCGCAUACGACCCAUGUACAUGCGGAUACAAUGGCCGAUUUGGAUGAAGACAAAAUUGCAGCAAUGGUUUAGGUCGUGAAUUACAAAUGUGGUUUUUUUCUAGUCUUCACAGACCAUAAACAAACCUUUAAAACACAUUAUAGGACGAAUAGACUUACUAAUAACGAAUGUUUGAGCACGUUAAUGUAUAUUCCUUUUAAUAUUUCGCACACAGUUUAUUUUGUUGUUAUUUUUGUACUCUUUUUUUUUAAUGUUACGCUUUCUAACUUCAAGUGACUAAUGCUAGGUUAACUCCCCCCCCCCAGCUUUUUCCGCGAUGGCCUUAACCAUUUUUUUUCGCGACCCGAGCUGUUCUGACUUUUUAGCCUCCAGCCUUGCGCAUCUUUUGAUACCAACAACAUAAAAUUCGGACCACGGGUUGCCGCGCAGUGAAAAAUCUUCCGAUGCUACCCGCCGUGAAAACUGAAUUUCCCCAUAUACGUAUAGCGUAUACACAGAGCAGAAUUACCAUUCGUGCAUAUAAAUAAUUAAUUAGCCAUAAUUCCAAAACCCUUUGACCUAUAGUCAUCAUAUUUCUUGGGUAUGUUUAUGAAUAGGUGUUCUCUGCAUGUACCAAAUUUCAUAAUUUUUCGUCACUCGAUGGCCGAGAUCUUGGGGGGGGGGGGGGGGGGGGGGGGCAGAAUCCCCCGGCUGACAGGUGGUCAAAAUAGCCCGGCCCUUUUAGGGUUAAGACAUUCCCAAUUUUUAAGUCGAAUCACCGCGAAUAACAAUUCUUGAGUAAAUCGGGGAAUGGUUCUUGGUUGCCUCGGGAUGCUUCUGUUACAAAUACACAAAAUCGGCAUAAUUCUUGAGUUAUUCGUAUGUUAGUCUUGACGAAAUCGCUAAAAUUCUAUUUUAUUCUGCACUAAAUUGCAAUCAUUCCGUUUGGUUCGGUCUGAUUCGGCUUCUAUUUCGUACCUAGUUCUUGAUUAUUUUUGUUUCAUUCUUAAGUUAUUGUUACAACAUAGCGAAUCGGGGCUACUUUAUCCUUAUGCCAUCGAUAAUUUUUAUUCGGGAUAGAUUGGCGUUUCUCGUGGCAAUAAGUUGGGAAUGUGUGAACCUAGCAUAAUUGGUGUUCGCCUGUGCAUGUCUUCAGAAACUAUUAACAGUUUCAUGAUGCACAUUAAUACUAAUACUACUACUAAUAAUAAUCGGCUUAAGAACGCUCUUAUUAGUAAACUAAAUCACAGCGCUUACAGUAUUAUUAUUAAUACCCCUGAUCAUUGGGCCAACAUUCCAAAUA